AUUGAACGCUGGCGGCAUGCCUUACACAUGCAAGUCGAACGGCAGCGGACCUUCGGGUGCCGGCGAGUGGCGAACGGGUGAGUAAUGCAUCGGAACGUACCUUUCAGUGGGGGACAACGUAGCGAAAGUUACGCUAAUACCGCAUAUUCUGUGAGCAGGAAAGCAGGGGAUCGCAAGACCUUGCGCUGAUUGAGCGGCCGAUGUCAGAUUAGCUAGUUGGUGAGGUAAAGGCUCACCAAGGCGACGAUCUGUAGCGGGUCUGAGAGGAUGAUCCGCCACGCUGGGACUGAGACACGGCCCAGACUCCUACGGGAGGCAGCAGUGGGGAAUUGUGGACAAUGGGAGCAACGCUGAUCCAGCCAUGCCGCGUGAGUGAAGAAGGCGGUCGGGUUGUAAAGCUCUUUCGGCCGGGAAGAAAUCGCACAGGCUAAUACCUUGUGUGGAUGACGGUACCGGAAUAAGAAGCACCGGCUAACUGCGUGCCAGCCGCCGCAGUAACAC
rnacentral:rRNA from 1 species